GGGUGGCGGGGUCAGGCCUUCUGUUCUCUGGGCAUGGUCUUCUCCUCACAACACAAAAUCUGAAGAGCCUGGAGCCCUCGGGGUUGCUGCUCUAGUAAAACUAAGUCAACAAGACAAACAAAGAAGAACUGUGUGCUGUUUGAAAACUAAAUGAGCCUCAGGAGCAAAGUAGUAAACAUGGGCACGAUUCCCAGGUUUUCUGAGAGAGACAGUUCUUCGUGUUUGUAACACUCACAAAGACAGCAAAGGGCACAGAAGGAUCACUGGCCAUUCUAAGAAAGAAGUGAUCAUAUAUGUGGAAGACAGGAACCGGCAAAAGAAACUGGAGGCUCUCCUGGAGGAAAGGCAAGGCCCCAGCAGUUGCAGAAGACAAGCUCAAAGCCCUCCAGCAAGAGAGCACCUCUGUGCCAGGAGCUCCAGCCAAGGGCAUCCUGAGAGCUCCAGGAGUGAUGAACAAGUGGAGAAACCCCCUCACUUCUGGUGAAGCUGCCAUGGGAAGAACGAACCAGUGAGAAGUGGACCACUGCCCUUGAAGGUAAAGGGAGUGGAAGGCAACAGAAUCAGAGUGCCUCGUGUGACCAAGAGUGACACUGAGUACCCAGCAGCUGUGCUUUGUCUUUCUACUGGCCCAGAAAACUCAGGGACCAGGCACCCAGCAAGGUGCUUCAGGAAGAGGGACCCUGGUCCUGGGCAUGUGCGCAUGUGACCCAGUCCCAGCUCAGAGGGCAGAAGGGAAGUGUGCUGGAGGAAUGCCCUCCUGUGCCACCUGAGCCUCCUACCUCUGAGCACAGGUGUGUGAGGACCGGGUGUGUGGGCCAGCUGCAGCCAACUGACAGUCCUGAAGGAAGGGCCAAGAGAACCUCAGAGACGCCAGCCCAGAGCCCUGGGGUCACAGAGUCUCUGAGCCAGCUAUGCCCACACUUCCCUAUAGAUGAGAAAACUGAACUCCUCUAAUCAAAACUCAUUUUAAGUGGGUAUUCUGUUACUUUCUUUUUCUGUUUUAGAGACAAGAUCUUACUCUGGCACCCAGGCUGGAGUACAGUGGCAUGAUCGUAGCACGAUCUUAGCCAAGGGCUGCCGUGAUUAAUCAGGAGUCCUGAGGGCAGCUCAGAGCCAGGGAAGCCCACCCCACCCCCGGAGCUGCCCCUUUGCACUGCUUCAAGUCUCGUGGGAGCCAGGACUGGGCCCAGGGUGAGCGUGGACGGACCUGGGACAUUUGCCUGCUCCAAAGCAUCCCUGCCACUCCGCAGAGCCCUUCUGUGAUCACACUGCAUUUAGGAGCUCGUGAUGUGAUGUGAGGAGAUGUGACACAGCCAUCAAUACAUCAAACAUGUAACAGCAAAUCUGUACACACUUAAAACACACCUCUGAGGCUCCCCACCGCCUCUGUGCACAGCCCUCUGUCUUCAGAGGCUGACGGGCCCUGUGCUCUGCCUGCUCUCCGGCUGUCUCUCCCCCACCUCUUACCACACCCAACGCCCAGUACCAUGCACCACGUUUCCUCGAAAAUAAGACCUGCCCAUAAAAUAAGCCCUAGCUGGAUUUCUGAGCAUUUGCACAAUAUA